CACCGCCCCCCCGGCCGCCGCUGCCGCUGGAGCGCCGCGGGGAGGCGGCGGGGGCGGUGCUGUGCCUGCACGCUUUGAUUUCGGCAGGCAGAAAAGAUGGACCCUUUGGUCGGCGUGCCCUGAAGCCUCUGUCAGUGCCCGCGAAGUUAACAAGGCUUGUAAUGUCGUAGGAGUGAGCCUUCCUCACGUUUCACUUCAGGGCUCAGUGAAGCUCUGGUUUGUGUCUUCAGCUCUCCUGAAUGAGUGCUCCAGCAUCAACAGGUGUUAACGCUUGCGAUAGCGUAUGCGACCCCUUGAAGGCUUUCAUUUUGCUUGUAUUUCCUUCAUAAGUGCAAUGAAAAGGACUUUAAUUUCUC